AUACUUACUUGGCAGGAGAGAUACCACAAUCACAAAGGCGGUUUUUCCCAGGUUGAGGCUCAUCCACUGCACUUCAGGCGUGCUGAUCCUGCGAUUUCUCCAAAUGUGGGAAACUCAACUGUAUAAUUUGUGGUAGUGGGAGACCAUGUUUGUGCUUUCCCC
rnacentral:snRNA from 1 species